CGGUGCUUGCACUGGUCAAUCUAGUGGCGAACGGGUGAGUAACACGUGGGUAACCUGCCCAUCAGAGGGGGAUAACAUCCGGAAACGGAUGCUAAAACCGCAUAGGUCUUCGAGCCGCAUGGCUUGAAGAGGAAAAGAGGCGCAAGCUUCUGCUGAUGGAUGGACCCGCGGUGCAUUAGCUAGUUGGUGAGGUAACGGCUCACCAAGGCAGUGAUGCAUAGCCGACCUGAGAGGGUGAUCGGCCACAUUGGGACUGAGACACGGCCCAAACUCCUACGGGAGGCAGCAGUAGGGAAUCUUCCGCAAUGGACGCAAGUCUGACGGAGCAACGCCGCGUGAGUGAAGAAGGUUUUCGGAUCGUAAAACUCUGUUGUUAGAGAAGAACAAGUGCUAGAGUAACUGUUAGCGCCUUGACGGUAUCUAACCAGAAAGCCACGGCUAACUACGUGCCAGCAGCCGCGGUAAUACGUAGGUGGCAAGCGUUGUCCGGAUUUAUUGGGCGUAAAGCGAGCGCAGGCGGUUCCUUAAGUCUGAUGUGAAAGCCCCCGGCUCAACCGGGGAGGGUCAUUGGAAACUGGGGAACUUGAGUGCAGAAGAGGAGAGUGGAAUUCCAUGUGUAGCGGUGAAAUGCGUAGAUAUAUGGAGGAACACCAGUGGCGAAGGCGACUCUCUGGUCUGUAACUGACGCUGAGG
rnacentral:rRNA from 1 species